AUGUGGUUUUUGUGUUGAAUAUAGCAUAAAAUAAAUAUAUAUUUUUUUAAAUUACUGUUUAUAAAAUUUUAAAUAAAAAACAGGAAGAGCAUUGUGAUGCCAUCUACCACUUUUAUCAGUUAAAAUUUUUGCUUGCUAUUAGCGCUAUUGACUAAGAUUUCUCAGAGUUAAAGCUUUAAUUAGAUCCUGAACAGCUCAGAAUUCGCGUUGUAAACCGUGAUUACAUUUUUUAAUUUCAUCAUAAAGAGAUUAGUUCCAUCACUUCACCGCUAGAGUUUCAAUAAAUCAGAAUACUUUAAAGUCAUUUAAAAAUCUUGUUAGUUAUUCUUUUUACUAUCCAAUCCCAUACUGUCUGCUUUUGGGUACCUCUAUACACUCUAUGCUCAGACGCAAAUAUUUCAAGAUUAAAUGAGGGGAACGGUAUACUUAUUAAUAUAUCGCAAAUAAAUAUUUAUUUAAAAAAAUUAUGGAGACUGAAAUUUCAUAAAAAAAAUGAUCACGAAAAAUACUAAUUUCUAUUGUUGCAUGUAGCUCUGGAAAUAUUGUAACUUUAUCCUCAGGGGAUUUUUCAUUUAAUAAUAAACAAAUCAAAUAUUUAGGUGAUUAAAUUUAGCUGGUUCAGCUUGUAUGUAACCAAAAUAAUUUUGAUUUAUAUUAAAUAAUGUAUGUGGUUUACAUUUACACUAUGUAACUAAAUAAAAUAUUUAAAACAUCAAAAAUUUAUUUAUUUGAAACAUGUUUGUAAAAAUAUAUUUAUAGUAUAAAUAAUUAAGUUAUUAUAAUGAAUUGCUUACAAUUAAAAUAAUACUA
rnacentral:misc_RNA from 1 species